rnacentral:ncRNA from 1 species
GCGAGGCUGUUUAGAUACUGUAGAAUUAUGCCCAUGAAACACAGAAAUGACUUGCCAUGGAAGGCAAGUCAAGGAGAACCGCGCCACGGACGGCGCGUUUCGACGGUUUCGUCAAGCAAAGUGAGCCUAAAAAGCAUAAUUCGUACAGUAUCUUGACAGCGUAGC